GAGACUUGGCGGCGCUCGGGGCCAGGCCUCCUCGAGAGGCCGGGGUUCCCAGCAGGACCCCGCAGGCCGCGGCGGGGGAUGCGGGGGACGCCGGAGCGGCGUGCCGUCAGCGCCGAGCUCGUCCCGGGCAGCCGUGCUUCCUCGGGCUUUCCAGCUACAUGGUCACCCCGGCCUGCCCACGCGAGAGAGCGCAUGCAAACGCUUGAGGAGACGCGAGCGGCGAAUGGUGGGAAGGGACCGGGAGCCGACCAGACCGGGAAGAGUUUUUGAGACAGGGUUUCUACAUAGCCCUGGCCAUUUUGGAAGUCACUAUGUAGACUAGGCUCACAGAGAUCUUAUCUGCCUGCCUCUUCCUCCUGAGUUCUGGGGUUAAAGGCAUGUGCUACCACACCUGCAGAAGAAGUUAACAUUUAAAUUCCUGGACUUUGAGUAAAGCAUAUCAGCCAUUGUGAUGUGGAUUGGUGUCAUUUAAUCAAUUGAGGGGCUAAUUAGAAUGAAGAAGCUGGUCUGCCCUGAGCACAUGGAAUUCUCCAGAAGACGGUCUUUGAAUAUCAUUGUCAACACUGGCUUUUUCAUUGUCUCUUGGCAGACAGAUGGCUUUUGAAGUCCAUUAGUUCUUUUGAGUCUCCAGGCUGAAUAUCUUGGAACUGACAAGAUACUCCACAAGAGAAAUGGGGUUCAAAUUGGCUAUGUAACAAAUACAACAGAAUAAAUAUCUUCACCUAUGAGCUUAA
rnacentral:lncRNA from 1 species